UGGGGAAUUUUCCGCAAUGGGCGAAAGCCUGACGGAGCAAUGCCGCGUGGAGGUGGAAGGCCUACGGGUCGUCAACUUCUUUUCUCGGAGAAGAAACAAUGACGGUAUCUGAGGAAUAAGCAUCGGCUAACUCUGUUGUCAG
rnacentral:rRNA from 1 species